GCCCCUUGCUUGUAGUAUUCAGCACACCUUGAGGCCAACCCAUCCAAGCCUUGGCACCACGAUUCAUUAUUCGAUCCUGGUAAAGGAACCAAACCCUUAUCAACUUUGAUACCAGGCAUGAUUUUCUCUUCCCGCAAGCAAUCAACAAACUUCUUUCCAUCAGUUGUUGACUGGUAAAGUGUUUCCUCAAAAAGAAUGGCCCCAGAAAUGUAGUCACCUAGACCAGGAGUCGUCAACAAAAGCUGUCUGUAAGCUUGGCGGUUAACUUCUGUAUUGUCCAAACCAAUAGAAUCAAGCCUCUUCCCGCAAGUAGCAUUUGACUCAUCGAUUGCAAGGAUCCCACGUCCAGGAGAAGCAAUAGAUUUCGCGGUCUGGACGAGCUCGUCAGUGUAGGCCCCGGCCCUGAUCGGCCGCAUCGCCACCCGCCGCGCCGCCGGCCGGAGAGCCACCGGCCGGCGAUCGAGCGUUCCGCGGACGCCGCCGAUCAACUGGCUCGUCGGAGCGUUCAUCUUCAUCGUCG
rnacentral:misc_RNA from 1 species